rnacentral:rRNA from 1 species
AUUGAACGCUGGCGGCAUGCUUUACACAUGCAAGUCGAACGGCAGCGCGGGCUUCGGCCUGGCGGCGAGUGGCGAACGGGCGAGUAAUUCACCGGAACGUGCCCAGUAGUUGGGGAUAGCCCGGCGAAAGCCGGAUUAAUACCGCAUACGACCCGAGGGUGAAAGCGGGGGACCGAAAGGCCUCGCGCGAUUGGAGCGGCCGAUGUCGGAUUAGCUAGUUGGUGGGGUAAAGGCUUACCAAGGCGACGAUCCGUAGCUGGUCUGAGAGGACGACCAGCCACACUGGAACUGAGACACGGCCCAGACUCCUACGGGAGGCAGCAGUGGGGAAUUUUGGACAAUGGGGGCAACCCUGAUCCAGCCAUGCCGCGUGAGGGAAGAAGGCCUUCGGGUUGUAAAACGCUUUUGUUCGGGAAGAAAUCCUCUGGGCUAAUACCCCGGGGGGAUGACGGUACCGGAAGAAUAAGCACCGGCUAACUACGUG